rfam:Pan troglodytes isolate Yerkes chimp pedigree #C0471 (Clint) chromosome 16, whole genome shotgun sequence.
GCUGGGUGUGGUGGUUCACACCUGUAAUCCCAGCACUUUGGGAGGCUGAGGCAGGAGAAUCACUUGAGGCCAGGAGUUCAAGACCUGCCUGGGCAACAUAGUGAGACCCUGGCUCUA